rnacentral:rRNA from 1 species
UCCGUAGGUGAACCUGCGGAAGGAUCAUUAUCGAGGGGAACAGGCCCUCGUUGUCCGGGGGCCUGAUCUUUUUCCAUCCGUGUGGAAUCGUACCCUGUUGCUUCGGCGGGUCAGCCCCUAGGGGCGCCGCCGGGGAAUCGUGGCCCUUUUUUUGAACUGCUGGUGUGUCUUUUGGAAAAGAAUUGCGAGUCUGAAUCAGAAAUGGAAGAAUGAUACAAAACUUUCAACAAUGGAUCUCUUGGUUCCGGCAUCGAUGAAGAACGCAGGGAAAUGCGAUAAGUAAUGUGAAUUGCAGAAUUCCGUGAAUCAUCGAAUCUUUGAACGCAUAUUGCGCCCGUUGGGACUCCAACGGGCAUGCCUGUCCGAGCGUCAUCACCGUCCUUCCAGCCUGCCCCGGGGGGGUGCAAUACGGUUGGGUCUUGGGGGAUCGUCCGGGGGAUCGAUCCCGGACGAGCCCCGAAAGCUAGUUGACGGGGCCGGAUCCGGGCCUGGAGCGCAUGGGGUUCUGAGGGCGACAGCGUCCUCCCCGCUUUCCACAGACCGGAUCGGUGCUCCGUCCCCCGUCGAUAGGGGAAUACGACGAUGGCAUCAGGGGUUGGACCUCGGG